rnacentral:rRNA from 1 species
UACGAAGGGGGGCUAGCGUUGCUCGGAAUCACUGGGCGUAAAGCGCACGUAGGCGGCUUUCUAAGUCAGGGGUGAAAUCCUGGAGCUCAACUCCAGAACUGCCUUUGAUACUGGAGAGCUUGAGUCCUGGAGAGGCGAGUGGAAUUCCCGGUGUAGCGGUGAAAUGCGUAGAGAUCGGGAGGAACACCAGAGGCGAAGGCGGCUCGCUGGACAGGCACUGACACUCAACUACGAAAGCGUGGGGAGCAAACAGG